rnacentral:rRNA from 1 species
AUUGAACGCUGGCGGCAUGCCUUACACAUGCAAGUCGAACGGCAGCACGGGAGCAAUCCUGGUGGCGAGUGGCGAACGGGUGAGUAAUAUAUCGGAACGUGCCCAGUAGUGGGGGGAUAACCCGGCGAAAGUCGGACUAAUACCGCAUACGACCUACGGGUGAAAGCGGGGGAUCGCAAGACCUCGCGCUAUCGGAGCGGCCGAUAUCAGAUUAGCUUGUUGGUGGGGUAAAAGCCUACCAAGGCGACGAUCUGUAGCUGGUCUGAGAGGACGACCAGCCACACUGGGACUGAGACACGGCCCAGACUCCUACGGGAGGCAGCAGUGGGGAAUUUUGGACAAUGGGCGCAAGCCUGAUCCAGCCAUGCCGCGUGCGGGAAGAAGGCCUCGG